rnacentral:rRNA from 1 species
GUCCACGCCGUAAAACGAUGAGUGCUAGGUGUUAGGCCCUUUCCGGGGCUUAGUGCCGCAGCUAACGCAUUAAGCACUCCGCCUGGGGAGUACGACCGCAAGGUUGAAACUCAAAGGAAUUGACGGGGGGCCCGCACAAGCGGUGGAGCAUGUGGUUUAAUUCGAAGCAACGCGAAGAACCUUACCAGGUCUUGACAUCCCGAUGCUAUUCCUAGAGAUAGGAAGUUUCUUCGGAACAUCGGUGACAGGUGGUGCAUGGUUGUCGU